GAGAGCUGUGGAGUGUGACAAUGGUGUUUGUGUCCAAUCUAUCAAACGCCAUUAUCACACUAAAUAGCUACUGG
rnacentral:pre_miRNA from 13 species